GGCCAGGUAGCUCAGUUGGUAGAGCAGAGGACUGAAAAUCCUCGUGUCGGUGGUUCAAUUCCUCCUCUGGCCA
rnacentral:tRNA from 1 species